rnacentral:rRNA from 2 species
AACGCUGGCGGCGUGCCUAAUACAUGCAAGUCGAACGAGUUCUCGUUGAUGAUCGGUGCUUGCACCGAGAUUCAACAUGGAACGAGUGGCGGACGGGUGAGUAACACGUGGGUAACCUGCCCUUAAGUGGGGGAUAACAUUUGGAAACAGAUGCUAAUACCGCAUAGAUCCAAGAACCGCAUGGUUCUUGGCUGAAAGAUGGCGUAAGCUAUCGCUUUUGGAUGGACCCGCGGCGUAUUAGCUAGUUGGUGAGGUAAUGGCUCACCAAGGCGAUGAUACGUAGCCGAACUGAGAGGUUGAUCGGCCACAUUGGGACUGAGACACGGCCCAAACUCCUACGGGAGGCAGCAGUAGGGAAUCUUCCACAAUGGACGCAAGUCUGAUGGAGCAACGCCGCGUGAGUGAAGAAGGCUUUCGGGUCGUAAAACUCUGUUGUUGGAGAAGAAUGGUCGGCAGAGUAACUGUUGUCGGCGUGACGGUAUCCAACCAGAAAGCCACGGCUAACUACGUGCCAGCAGCCGCGGUAAUACGUAGGUGGCAAGCGUUAUCCGGAUUUAUUGGGCGUAAAGCGAGCGCAGGCGGUUUUUUAAGUCUGAUGUGAAAGCCCUCGGCUUAACCGAGGAAGCGCAUCGGAAACUGGGAAACUUGAGUGCAGAAGAGGACAGUGGAACUCCAUGUGUAGCGGUGAAAUGCGUAGAUAUAUGGAAGAACACCAGUGGCGAAGGCGGCUGUCUGGUCUGUAACUGACGCUGAGGCUCGAAAGCAUGGGUAGCGAACAGGAUUAGAUACCCUGGUAGUCCAUGCCGUAAACGAUGAAUGCUAGGUGUUGGAGGGUUUCCGCCCUUCAGUGCCGCAGCUAACGCAUUAAGCAUUCCGCCUGGGGAGUACGACCGCAAGGUUGAAACUCAAAGGAAUUGACGGGGGCCCGCACAAGCGGUGGAGCAUGUGGUUUAAUUCGAAGCAACGCGAAGAACCUUACCAGGUCUUGACAUCUUUUGAUCACCUGAGAGAUCAGGUUUCCCCUUCGGGGGCAAAAUGACAGGUGGUGCAUGGUUGUCGUCAGCUCGUGUCGUGAGAUGUUGGGUUAAGUCCCGCAACGAGCGCAACCCUUAUGACUAGUUGCCAGCAUUUAGUUGGGCACUCUAGUAAGACUGCCGGUGACAAACCGGAGGAAGGUGGGGAUGACGUCAAAUCAUCAUGCCCCUUAUGACCUGGGCUACACACGUGCUACAAUGGAUGGUACAACGAGUUGCGAGACCGCGAGGUCAAGCUAAUCUCUUAAAGCCAUUCUCAGUUCGGACUGUAGGCUGCAACUCGCCUACACGAAGUCGGAAUCGCUAGUAAUCGCGGAUCAGCACGCCGCGGUGAAUACGUUCCCGGGCCUUGUACACACCGCCCGUCACACCAUGAGAGUUUGUAACACCCGAAGCCGGUGGCGUAACCCUUUUAGGGAGCGAGCCGUCUAAGGUGGGACAAAUGAUUAGGGUGAA